GACGAACGCUGGCGGCGCGCUUAAUACAUGCAAGUCGAGCGAGAACUAGGGCUUCGGCCCUGGGGACAGCGGCGAACGGGUGAGUAACAUGUGGGUAAUCAACCCCCGACACCGGGAUAGCCCAGGGAAACUUGGAUUAAUACCGGAUGCCCCAUCUGGCUUUCGAGCCGGCUGGAAAAGGGUAGCUUCGGCCUCCGGUCGGGGACGAGCCCGCGGCGGAUUAGCUUGUUGGUGAGGUAAAGGCUCACCAAGGCGACGAUCCGUAGCUGGUCUGAGAGGACGAUCAGCCACACUGGGACUGAGACACGGCCCAGACUCCUACGGGAGGCAGCAGUAGGGAAUCUUGCGCAAUGGGCGAAAGCCUGACGCAGCGACGCCGCGUGAGGGAAGAAGGCCUUCGGGUUGUAAACCUCUUUCAGGAGGGACGAAGCCACUCGGGUUAAUAGCCUAGAGGGUGACGGUACCUCCAGAAGAAGCCCCGGCUAACUACGUGCCAGCCGCCGCGGUAA
rnacentral:rRNA from 1 species